UCUGUGAUGCCCUUAGAUGUUCUGGGCCGCACGCGCGCUACACUGUUGCAUUCAACGAGCCUAUCCUUGACCGAGAGGUCCGGGUAAUCUUUGAAACUGCAACGUGAUGGGGAUAGAUUAUUGCAAUUAUUAGUCUUCAACGAGGAAUGCCUAGUAAGCGCGAGUCAUCAGCUCGCGUUGAUUACGUCCCUGCCCUUUGUACACACCGC
rnacentral:rRNA from 1 species